rnacentral:rRNA from 1 species
CAAAAACAUCUUUUCUUGUUAGUUUUUGAAGUAUGGCCUGCCCACUGACAUUUAUUUGGUUGAAGGGCCGCGGUAUUUUGACCGUGCAAAGGUAGCAUAAUCAUUAGUUCUUUAAUUGUGAUCUGGUAUGAAUGGCUUGACGAGACAUGGGCUGUCUUAAAGGUAUUUCUUUAUUGAAUUUAGUCUUUGAGUUAAAAUUCUUAGAUGUUUUUAUGGGACGAGAAGACCCUAUAGAGUUUAACAUUUCCUCUUCUUUUGUAUUAAUGUUUGUUUAUUCAUUUUAAGUUGACUAAGUGUUUUGUUGGGGUGAUGGGAGGAAUAAAAUUUAACUCCUCUUUGGUUUGGCAUAUUUAUUUAUAUUUGUUUUGAUCCAUUUAUUUUGAUUAUAAGAUUAAAUUACCUU